rnacentral:lncRNA from 1 species
GACUGACACCUCUGUUCCUCCCUGCCUUUCUCUGCCUUUCCCAGUCCUUUGCUCCAGUUGUGAAGAUAUACAGUAGGCUGGGUUUGCCAGAGGAAGGGCCUGGACACAGUCCUGUGGUCACCCCAGUAAAGGACUUUGCACCAGGCUCCAGCACUGCUGUCUAAUCAAAUCACUGCUGUAUUACGGAACUGCUGCCAGGAGAGGAGCUCUGUGAGCCAGGAAUGGAGCACUACUGAAAGGAAUUCCUGCAGAAUGUGAUUCCAGCCAUGCAGCCAGCACGGCUGUUGUGCAUCAGAAUCUGAUGCUUUUAGCGGAAACCUACCUGGGACAUUUCACAAACAGGCCUCAGAAAACCGCCUAAUUAUAGCAGCAAGAAACUCAGGAA